CAAACCACAUGAAUAAAAUGUGUCAUCUGGGUUAGAUACUAAUUUAUUUGCCUUAAGUUCUGGGAACAAUAUCUGCAGUUUUUCCAGAGAAUUUGGUUAACUUCCAUAGAAACUGAAUACUAAUACGAUUUCUGUAGCAUGGAAGACAAAUAGGAAACAGAGAAAAAAUAGACUCAUCAGAAAUAUUAGCUGCUCAUUAUUAAAAUAUCUGACGAUGACACAAAUAAAAUUUAUAAACAGGAACAUUUAGAGCCUAACUUUUCACUAAAAAGCAAAUUCCUUGCUUCGUCCCUUUUAGGGACAGGAUUCAAUUACACAGAAAUAUGCAGCAGACUUAAGGACUGCAUGUAAGAUUAAGAUAACUGGUAUUUCAUGGUAAAUGAUUAAAUUAGCUGACACAGUUUUAUCCUGAACUUUGCCAUUAAAACUGACAUUUUUGUGCCACGCACAUUGUAGGCUGCUGGUAAUCUAAACUGCCUUUCUUCUUUCAAAGACUUUAAAUAGCUGAAGAACUCUUGUUCUUUACUCUAUUUGCAAAUGUCUGGAAAAUAUAUCUACAACAUAACAAGAUGAACUAAGCACAGGACUUUUUUUUUUCCUCAUCUAUCAUACAAAUACCUUGAGAAAACAGCAAGGAGGUUCCAAAUGCCCAGAUUAAGCUCUGCAACAUGCACUUUAAUCAAGUAAUUUAUGUGACUCUGCAGAGAUGAGAACAUGCUGUCCUCCUCAUGGCUUGCUUUUUUAUGAUGGCAGGAAUUAUGGGAAUAAUUUUGAUAUAAACCAGGCAUAGAAGUGUAUGGAUGAAAUAUUGUCUGAGCUGGCUUUAGCCACUGCCUUUCAGUUGAGUUAGCUGGGAAGGAGCAGCUCAACUCCUUGGUGAAGAUACUCAGUCUUCAAGCAAAGUGCAGGCACGUGUCACUGCACACAGCAAAGACAAGGCCAGUCUGAUCAGAGACAUGAACGAUGAGAGAAGCACAGUUCCUGAAUAUUGCACUGGGAGAGCACCAGACUGGGUGGGAAGAAAAGCCACAGAGGCACUGCAGAAAUGAAGAGAGGUAGCAGGACAUGCAGCCAGUGCACCCCUAUGAAAGACCAAGGUUCUACAUACAUCUAUGCCUUGAUGUGAAUGCUCUGGAGAGGAAAGAAGAAGUCUGUGGCUGCUCUUAGAUCUGGAAGUGAUGUCUUUCAAAACACUUCAGUAAUUGGUGCUCUUUUAUAAAAUAUACUGCAAUAAAACUGUACACAAAAGUUGAAGCGCUCCUUUUCAAGUGGCUGAACACAGGAAUGAAAUACAACCUAGAGAGGAAUAGAGAGAACUCAGAAAAUAAAAAGGAACUAAUCCAUUUCAGUGACUCAAGAUCAUGGAUAUAACUUGCUGCUUUUCAUUUGGCUAUCUAGACAGAUGGGCUAGACUGAAGUCAGCGGGGCUACUUGUGAUGUACUCCACAACUGAACA